rnacentral:rRNA from 1 species
UGGGGAAUAUUGCACAAUGGGCGCAAGCCUGAUGCAGCAACGCCGCGUGAACGAUGAAGGUCUUCGGAUCGUAAAGUUCUGUUGCAGGGGAAGAUAAUGACGGUACCCUGUGAGGAAGCCCCGGCUAACUACGUGCCAGCAGCCGCGGUAAUACGUAGGUGGCGAGCGUUAUCCGGAAUUAUUGGGCGUAAAGGGUGCGUAGGCGGUCUGUUAAGUUCAUGGUUAAAUUUUGGGGCUCAACCCCAUUGAGCCAUGGAUACUGGCAGACUAGAGUAUUGGAGAGGCAAGCGGAAUUCCAUGUGUAGCGGUAAAAUGCGUAGAUAUAUGGAGGAACACCGGUGGCGAAGGCGGCUUGCUAGCCAAAGACUGACGCUCAGGCACGAAAGCGUGGGGAGCAAAUAGG